AUACUCCCUAGUGCAACACAAUAGCCACGACAAAGGGCCAUGCUACCAUUUACCAUGACGAACCAUCCCGUUCCCACCAUCAUGGUCAGAUAUAUAAUCUCCCGGCAGCCAAAUGCAACAGGUAAAUAUUACUUGUCCAGCAUUGUGUAAGAUGGCAGGUCCUUCACCGCCAGUACAUCCUCUAAAACUAGCUCACGCUCCAACUGAGUUCUCGUGGAUUUCAUCACCUCCUGGAGCAAACAAACAGUAUUGCAACUGAUUACAAAUAAAGAAGGAUGAAAAGGCUAUGCACGUUUUAGCACCAUGUCGGAAAGCUUACAUUGAACUCCAUAUAAGAUGCACGUUUUACAAGCCACUGAGCAUCAAGCAUCCGGAAGGCUAUGCAGUACAGGUGAUCAAAUGCAUUCUCAUCUCGUCCUAGUAGUUCCAGGAAACGAAUUCCUGACUUUGAAGAUGGAACGUCUGCAUAAAUUGAGGAACACAAACCGAGAAUUAGGAACGAGACCAUUAUAGUGUAAAGACUUAGCGAAAUGGGGAAUUACUUGAUUGUAGAUCCAACAUCUGUAUCAGCAUGAAUGAAAUGUUGAUACCAGCAACUGCAAAAGGGUACUCCCAAUCUGCUCUCUGCCCUUGUACUUUAUUGAGAAGCAUCUGAAAGGAACCCUGAGACAGAACAGAUGUGAUAAUUUACACAAAGUAAAACAAAGUAUAACCAGCAGUUUUAUCAUACAUAAGUCAGCAGGUGUUUACAGGGUAGGUCCUAGCGAAAAAGAUGAGGUUCUCCAGCGAUAUGAAUCCACCACCCCUGCAUGGAGGCUAUCUGUAUUAGAUGGCUUUAUCAACUGAGUAAACCACACCAGACAGAAGCAUAGCUUCACACUUUGAUAUUCAAGAAUAGAGAACCUGAAAUCAGUUGAUGGAUCAGUGCCUUGCCAACCCAUCUCCUUCCAUAGUUCUGAUUUUAGCGGAGGGAUCUCACGACUUGGGUAAGCUAACUUCCAAAGUUGUCUCAAAGCGUCCUAAUAAAAUGAUGCAGAUCAAUUGCUUUGCAUGCAUGAGUAGAUGUUUGUGGGGAAAGAAUUAAAACAAGUUGCGUACUUGGUGCUCAAUACGGGAGCCGUCAAAAGGGAUUUUCAACCUGCGUCUUAAAUUAUCCAAUCUUUCUUCCUGCAAAAUGAAGUUUCAGAACUUAAACCAAUUCUUGCAUGCCUAGUAUACAUCUUUCCUCUAUGCAUUACCUGCAAAGGACUAAGAUAUACUGGAUCACUGGUUUGGUUAUCUGACGCAAAGGGGAACAGUCUGCCCAAAAUUGACCCCGAGCUUACAAUAAUAUUGGCUGCAAAUAAAAUGGCAAAAGGAAGAAAAGAAUAUCAAUGUUAUUGAAAGAAAUAAGAUUACAGUAUGAACAAAGUACACAACUAUAACCUGGGAAUUUAACAGGAAAGCAAGCUUAGUAAGGAGUAAGGACUUCAAGGAAAACAUUGCUAUGAAUUAAUACAGUAAAGGAUCUGUCAUAGCUUACCUAAUUUAAAAGACUAGCUAAAUACCUCUGCUUUGCUUUGGAUAAAACAAUUAAACUACUCGUUAUUAAUAAAUUAGACUAAAAACUACUAUUAUGUAUUAGUGUUAACUACUACUCCCUCUGAUCCUAAAUUCUUGACUUAAAUUUGUCCAAAUAUGGAUGUAUCUGUUCUUAAAAUGCGUCUAUACAUGUAAUAUUUCGACAAUAAUUUAGGAUCGGAGGGAGUAAUAAUUUUAUCUAAAUUUGGUGACAAACAUCAUUACCAUCUCAGUCUUUUGCAAUAUAAUUAUUUUUUGCACUAGAAGCAGGUGGGAAGUUUCUUUUAUAGUACAAAGGAGGUGACAGACCACCGCCACCGACUGAUUUUUAGUAGAAGUAAAGAUUGUUUCUCAUUUUGAUGACAAAUCUUCUGCUUAAUGAACUUUGCAGAGUGUUUUGCUGGCUUUCUGAAAAUGAUGACAAUAAUGAAAAACAAGCGGACUACUAUGGUACUGUGAGCAGCUGCAUAAAUCCUUCCUUUACUUCUUUGCUUCUCAGUAUUUGAAGCAGGUUGCAGAUUUGUAAAAAAAAAACCCGUGAAAUCAGUAGGUUAGAUACCCUGACAGCCAGUGUUAUUCCAAACCAAAGAGUGUGAGGUUGUAUAAGCCAGUAAUGCACACAUGGGAAAUAUAUGCAUGAGUAUAGACAUUUGGCAUAUUAAAAUUGAAUAGGUAUCAGUGGGUAACAGGCUACCUAUUUGUACAAAGUACUUACUGAAUCUAUAUUUAGCAAAGCCCAAUACACAACUCCCAUAACAGGUGCUAGACAAUCUUAAACUAAAUACAGUAUAGAUAAUGUUAAGUGUGAAGAAUUACAAAAGUUAUGCAUCAAUGUGGUGGGUAGUGUGAACAGUACCUAACCACUGUGCCCAUUGCGCAAUCAAACUUGAGAAAAGGAAUGACCAGUGUAGUUGUUCCUUCUUUCUAUCUUCAUCCCACAAAUCUUGCCUUCUGGGGUCAUAUACCUUCAGGAAGUAAGACGAUGUGUAAAAAUCUGCAUCCACUGUAAGAAUAGUUGAUGAAAUAUGAUCAGAAAAUACGAACCUCUGAUCCACCGUUGUCAUAGCUAGAAUUCCCUAAUAGAGGUUCAUCGAGGGAAUCUACAUGGGAUAUGUCAACAUGUUCAUUCUUCCUUCCAUCGACAUCUGCAUGAUGGAGCCGCCGCCUCAGAUUGCUUGUUGACAUGAGGUCCUGUGCCAGAGAGAGUCAGAACAGCAGCAAGAAGACAGGACGAAAUCAACAUCUUAGCACCGUGCCAAGCCGCCGACGCAACAAUAUAGAGCAGUCAGCAGCUCAAGUGCAAUGCAACUAUUCAUUCGUAGAGUUGUUGUUUCUUAAUCACCAGAGUUAUGAUCUCGCAAGAGUAAUACUCGUACUAUAAAAUAGAGUUAUGGUUAUGUGAAGUAAAUAAAGACAAUGAAUUUUCACCUGUGGUGCAGAAAUAAUAAAUUUUCGAGUCCUGUGAGAUUUGAUUAGUGCUAAUAUUGGAACAGAAGCAAGCAACUAAGAUCAUCCCCAACAGAUAUCAAUCACAUGCACCUUAAUUUACCCUUCCACAAUGCAGCGCUCCCGAUAGGUUCCUACCCUCCCCACUAACUUGAAAACCCUAGCCCCUCUACGAUUUGACAAAACUCACCGAAGCAUGUUCGACUUCUUCUGGAUUUCACGAGUCGAGGAAAUUAGUAAGGCGGUAGGAAUAAUCGAGCUCACGUACCGAGGGGUCCUGGUCCUGGUUGGUUCCGGAGGUAUUCCGGGAUCCGGCGAUUGGGAAGCGGAUGAAUAAGGGAAGAAGAAGCUGCCUUCCGUCGCGGGGAGACUUCAGAGUGUGGAGGAGGGGAUUCUGACUCGAAGCUUUAAGAAGCAGGGAGGAGAGAGGGGGUUUGGACUUCGGAGGAGGAGGGGAAGACAGCUGGGGAAAGAGCUGCCGGAAGGAGGCUUGGAUCCGAAGGAAUGACUCGGCAGCUUCUCCUCUUUUCUUUUUCUUGACGCGGCUACUUUGCUGCUACGGUAGUACGGUACUACGGGGAAGACGCCCGUUGAGUUUGGGCCGGAUAGACCUUAAAGCUCUAAGUGGGCUAGAGGAUAAUUAUACUGGGCUCUUUAAAUGGGCUAGACAUGGAAUUGUCGACGUGACAAAUAAAGAAAAACCAAGUAAAAUUCUACAGGCCCAGAACUAACAGUGGCGCUGUAUCGGAGAACAGAACGACGCGUACGCGUACAGCAAAGCUCAACAGGUAAAUAUUACUUGUCCAGCAUUGUGUAAGAUGGCAGGUCCUUCACCGCCAGUACAUCCUCUAAAACUAGCUCACGCUCCAACUGAGUUCUCGUGGAUUUCAUCACCUCCUGGAGCAAACAAACAGUAUUGCAAC
rnacentral:lncRNA from 1 species